rnacentral:rRNA from 1 species
GAUGAACGCUAGCGGCAGGCUUAAUACAUGCAAGUCGAACGGUAACAGGUCUUCGGACGCUGACGAGUGGCGCACGGGUGAGGAACACGUACACAAUCUACCUUAUACUGGAGAAUAGCCCCGGGAAACUGGGAUUAAUACUUUAUAGUCUUUAAUGAUCACAUGAGAAAUAAAGUAAAGCUUCGGCGGUAUAAGAUGAGUGUGCGUCCCAUUAGAUUGUUGGUGAGGUAACGGCUCACCAAGUCGACGAUGGGUAGCUGGCGUGAGAGCGCGACCAGCCACACUGGCACUGAGACACGGGCCAGACUCCUACGGGAGGCAGCAGUAGGGAAUAUUGGUCAAUGGACGAAAGUCUGAACCAGCCAUGCCACGUGGAGGAUGACUGCCCUCUGGGUUGUAAACUCCUUUUAUAUGGGAAGAAACCUCUGGAUUCACUCCAGAGCUGACGGUAUCAUAUGAAUAAGCACCGGCUAACUCCGUG